rnacentral:lncRNA from 1 species
GCAAACUUCAAUACUUUAUUACUAAUAACAAAUGACAUAUGAUUUGCUUCACAGGUGUUGGUAACAUGGACAGGAGGCACGAGGUUGUGCCUGGUGAGGCACUCCACCCUCAAGUCCUGGCUUCACAAGCAGAAGCGCAGCAGAGUAGCAGAGAAGGAGAGAAGAGAGGAAGUGUUUUAACGCCAGAGGAGUUCUGCUGGGGCUGGUCAGAAAGGAGAUCAGCCGCAGGAUGGCUGAACUCCGGCAGAAGAUCAUUUUCCCAUUCCAUCCCCUCUCCAGCUACCCAUCCCAUCGAGAACCACCUCCAUCACUCAAUAAAAUCUCCCCAUUC